GUAUUAAAUUUCAGCUUGUUAAAAGCUUACUAUAUAGAUCAUUCUGAGAUUGUCAUUGGUGUUUGAUAAAAACAUAGGCAAAUCAGGAAUUACACAGAUUGCUCUGUAACUCUGUUUGUCUACUUGGGUGUGCACAGUGGGGUAAGAGAAGGAGAUUUUGCAGAGUGCACAUGCAAACCAGUGAAGGAGUGCCAGCACAUCUUUAAAAAUCGAUAAUGAUCCUUCCGCAGGUUCACCUACGGAAA
rnacentral:misc_RNA from 1 species